CUCUCUCUCUCUCUCUCUCUCUCUGUGAUAUUUUUCUAUAACUUGGUGUCUCUGUGUCUCUACGAUCACGAUCCAACGGUCCAAAAUGAACGGAGCUCCUUACGCUUAUUUCUCCAGGUUUUAAGCCCCAAACCUCCAGAUCUGUUCUCUCUGUGCUCAGAUCUUCAAUUUCGGUUUAAUAUUUGUAUUUCUUUUUUGACGCACGCAAAUGGAGGCUAGCUACGGCUUAGUGACAGUUGCGCUAAUUAACGGUGCACUAACGUGCGCCGUUGAGGCAAUAGCUAGUUUGCUAGUUUCGGCAGCAUUGGUCAAAGCAGCCCAGGAUCCCGUGGAAUUCUUUCUGACUAACAAACCUAGAAUGAAAGGAGAUGACUCACAUGGCCAAGCCAAGCCAGUUGAUGCAGGUGGAGAUGAUGGCAAUGAAGAUGAUGACGAUGAUGAUGAAGGGGAUGGGGAAUUUGGAGAAGGCCCAGAGGAAUUAUCAUCUGAAGACGGAGGGGACAAUGGCAACAACACCAAUAACAACAAAAGCAACUCAAAGAAGGGUCCAGAUGAUGGAGCAGGGGGAGCCGAAGAGAAUGGAGAAGAGGAAGAGGAUGAUGAUGAGGAAGAUGGUGAAGAUCAAGAUGACGACGACGAUGAUGAUGACGAUGAUGAUGAUGA
rnacentral:misc_RNA from 1 species